CCUACGGGGGGCAGCAGUGGGGAAUUUUGGACAAUGGGCGCAAGCCUGAUCCAGCAAUGCCGCGUGAGUGAAGAAGGCCUUCGGGUUGUAAAGCUCUUUUGUCAGGGAAGAAACGGGACUGGAUAAUACCUGGUCCUAAUGACGGUACCUGAAGAAUAAGCACCGGCUAACUACGUGCCAGCAGCCGCGGUAAUACGUAGGGUGCAAGCGUUAAUCGGAAUUACUGGGCGUAAAGCGUGCGCAGGCGGUUUUGUAAGUCUGACGUGAAAGCCCCG
rnacentral:rRNA from 1 species